GAGGGAUAUAGCCCAUCGCCAGGCGAGCUGGAAGGUGGGCAGCCGGAGCACCGGCUCCGCGGAGCUUAUAAAAGGCAGGACCGGGACGCAGAAGGACCCGCAGCCUCUGCGCAGCCCCGCGGGGACUCGCCAGGUUCCUUCGCUGCAAGCCCAGAGGAUUCUCUCCCCGACGGCAGAAACAGCCCAGCAGGAGCGGGGACGCUGCCAGCCAUGCCCCGGGGAGCUGGGCGCAGGGGCAGCUGAGGAUGGUGUCCAGCCUACGUCCUGCCCUCCUCCUCCUCCUGCAGGAAAAGUAAAAAGAGAGACCGCAACACAAAGGGCCCUCGGGAGAAUUCCUCCAGUCGAGGCACUGGGGCUUGGCAAGAGCUCGUGAUGCUCAGAAACUAUCGGGGA
rnacentral:lncRNA from 1 species